rnacentral:lncRNA from 1 species
GUGGUGUAUAUAGUCUGCCGCGCUUCUCGGCGAGGUCGCGAUACAGCACAAGUACAAUACAAGUACGAGAAGAGAAAAUCCAAGUAAAGCCAGCCGGCCAUUUUCCCUCUCACUUGCUUGCGCUCCGACUCAACAAUUAGUAGGGGAGGAAGGAACAAAAAACAGAGAGAGACAACCAACUGCUGCUCCGUGUCGUCCUUGUUGCCAAGUUUCCGUAUUGUGAGCGUGCGCUCCGGCUCAACACUACUAAAGCUACUACGGUACUUGCUACUGUACCCAGCACAACCUAAGAAAAACCUUGAGGUUGUAUUACAGUAUGACUAGGUAUCCAUUGGAGAUUUAGUCUAGGUAGUUAAAAAUAAAAUUAUCCGCAAAAGAACGAAACAUAAACUGUACUUUGGUGUUGAAAACACAACUGCAACUAUAGAGAUGCAAGACAGAGACAACAAUAAUAUGCCUGAUUUCUUUCCCGCUCAUAUCAAUGGUUUGCUGGCGGCAAAAGAGAAAGACUGGUGGGGCGUUGCGCAUAUGACGUUAUAUUUCUGGUAGCUAUCAGAGAAAAUAUAUUCCAUCCUUGUCAGGUUCAUACCAACUGGAAUGCCUUCAUUGGUUGACUAAAAUAAUGCCAGCCCCGGGUUGGGAUUCACAGGGGCGUACGCAGGGGCUGCUGGCCGCCCACCCCGACUUACAGGGGGACGCCAACAAUCGUGUUAUCCUUCCUUGGUCCUGGUCAUGGUGAAACAUCAACGAUUCUUCAGAAGGUUACUCGUAAGGGUAGAGUAGUGAAGACGCGUUUGCGCUUGAGUUCUGUUUUGUUCUCAUCCUUGGUUUGUUUGUACGUGGGAUCGAAUCGAGUAUGCACACUCCACUUUUGUUUGUAUAUAUAUGUAUAAAGCCUGGCUGGCUUUACUUGUGCUCAAGGCUUUGCUGGGGGAUACGCAACGCUAACUCUUCCUGCCCUCGACGAAAUACAAUCUCGCAUUUUUUUUAUACCAGCUUGUGCUGAUGUACCUAAAACAGGCUGGAAGAUCCCAUACACCGGUUACCCGGAAAAACAUUUGCUGAUGGGGGGGAGGAGUCGCUUGUGGACUGCCGCCCCUUGAUAAGCUGAAUGUGGCCUAUAUUCAAUGAAACAGCUGCUGUUUCUGACCCUAGGCUGGAAGAACACGCUCGCCUAACUAUAACGCAGUUGUCUGCUUGGAGCAAUUUUUGGAUGGAUUUGUAAAUAUGAAUGAGCGAAAACAAACAAUUGGAGAGGUUUUUUCAGAUUGCAUUUACAAAGCAAAUAUUCUCAGCCAAACGUAUACCUAGAUAUGAACCUUUUAGUAAUCCAUUGGCGUAGGAAAAAAAAUUGUACACUUUAAAAGUUGAGUAAUACAGGGGGAAAUAUUUUACGAAAGAGAGAUAAGAUAAAUGUAAUAUAUAUUAUUAUAGAAAUAGAUUAAUAAUUAGUUAACAAACAAGGAUAAAUCGCUUGCAUUAUUCGUAUAGUUAAAGUUCAAUUUUCAUUUUAAAUUGAAAAUUUUUAUUAAAGUCAACAGUAAUUAAAUUGAGUAAAUUAUUGUUUAAUGUUGAUAUAGUUAGAGAUAAAUGUUAUCGAAUAAAUGUAACGUGACAUUGACAGUGAGAUGAAAUAAAUUAUAUGUACAUAUUUUGUUUUCGUAUAUAUAUAUAUCUAUAUAUAUGUAUAUGUAUAAUAAUAAUAAUAGUUUAAUAUAUCCUUUGAUUUUUAACACGACUUUAAUCUCGAUAUCAUUAUUGUAGUAUUACAAUUAAAAGACUAGAGAUAUCAAUUUGUUUUUUAUAUUAUUGUGAUUUUUUUUUUU